UGAAGCCAGAAAAAGACAUUCAAAGUCAAAAUGUGUUCAGUUUCCAUGGAAAUCUGCUCAAAGGAAAAGAGAAGGACAAAAGAAAAAUGUAGACAAUCAGAACCUUAUGAACCAGUCAUCAGUAAUGCAACGAGGCAGUAACCCACAUGUUCAUCACACCUAACUAAUACUGCUGACCAGGCAUCUGAGCUACAGCACUGAAAUUGUCAAAUGUGGACAGAAAAUCUUGUCUUCAGCAAACAGCUUACUGCAGCCAACAGGCAAGGAGCUGUUUGCUUUGGUGUGACAGCAAGAGGACUGGCACAAUGGACAAGCAAUGCCGUUAGCAGGAAUGAGAUUAUCAUACUGGCAUUGCAUAUGUAUGUGUUUUAUUCCUGAGCUGGAGUCUAAGCUCUGGAGUAUGCAUUUCACAGCCAUACAAGCACCGAUGUGAACCAGACUGCCACCAGCCUGCUAAUGCUGCCUUGCUUUUAAUAACUGCAAUGCAAUUUCCUCAAAUCUCUGCAGUCAUCAGGCUGAUCCUGCUCCCUUCACAAAAGGCCUGGCUGUGUCAUCCUUACCAGGGAAAGCCGGACCUGGCUUUAAUUCCCAAGAGCCACACAGGCAGUAAGAGCUGUGCAGACAUUUGCUCAGGGAUUACUCAAAUGCUCUUUCUGCAGCAUUAUUCAGAAGCAGCCUGGGAAGGCUGCUGGCAAAAUUUUCAGUUGUCCCUGUGUUGUGUGAGAGUAUCUCAAACCCUGCAUAAGCAAGAGGCUGCAGCAGGACUCGGGGAUGCUCCUAUGUCAGCUCUGCACAGCCACAGCACAAGGCACUGAGACGUCCAUCACCACCACCCCAUACCUCCUCCAUUGCUGAAAUAACCUCACUUGGUUAAUUUGAGAUAUACACAUAAUGGCCCCAAGAGCUUCCUAGAAGGUCUUAAAUAUCGCCUGAGGAACUGAUUACCUAAAAGGGAAGAUCAUUUCUGGCUGCCUUGAGAGCAGAAGGACCAGAAACAAAGAGAAUUUCAGGAAAAGGGCCACUCUAAGAACUCGGCAGCUUUGAGAAUAGCAACUGUUACCUCUGGAUGGGCAGUACUUAAGUGAGAUCUUCUUAUUCAGUACUGCCACCAGUCACACCUGACUACCAAAAUGUUCUCCACCUACCCUCCUCAUCUCUGCCAAUAUGAUGUUUUUAAGUUAUCUCUUUCAAGGCUAGAAAUGAAUUGCCAGCUAAGAGAAAAUCUGUUAGGUAUAACAAGUAACGAUUUAAGUACAAUAUACGCUGAGGAUGCAGUUAUAAAAGAGAAGUUAUACCAGAUCUUCAGCUUUUAUUAAUCAUAUCAACUCCACUGAAGCAGAGAGAGUAAUUCCAGGUUGCAUCUUCGGAGGAUCGCGCUCCUAUAUGUGCCAUCACCACUGUUGAACACGGAACAUUUCUUUGGUGCAUGAGUAACUGAAAGCUCUGGAAACAGGAGUAUAGUUGGUUUCAAGAUCCACAGGCCUUCAAGGGACCUGCUGAGGAAGGCAGGUUCUGCAGCACACUGAAUAUAUUCAGUGCUGACAGACUCAAGGGAAUACUCACUCAGAAAUCUUGCAAGAUUUCAUCUAUUUGAGUGGACAGAAGUAAGAUUUUUUCCAACUUGCACUGGAAAAUAGGCCUACCCUGCCUGGAAAUUUUCCAUAAACGUAGAGUAAAAAAGAGUGAUUUUUAAAACAAUACUUUACAAUCAGUUCAAACAAUCAGUUUAAAUUCUUUCUCUACAUCUCUCCUGGUUUUCCCGUUGUACCACAUGCUAGUCAGCUCAGAAAUUAAAGCCACUUCUUCCCCACACAUACACAAUUCUUUUGGUCAAAUUCCUUAUGAUGUCAUCAUUACUCUUCUUUAUGCAGCCUGAAAAAUAAUAUCUCAUUUGUCUCAAAUUAAAUUUGGUAGUUUGGCAAACAGUUACAAGGAUAUUAGAUACAACAACAGUAUUUUGUUUUCUCUUCCCAAGCCAAACUCCUAGCACAGCCAUUGCAAUGGGGAAAUGGAAGUCUUCUCUUCUCCUUUUUGCUCCUUUUUAUGGUAUGGAUCUUUCCAGAGCAUUGGAAUCCUCACAGAAGAUUUCAUGACAGUUGGUGAACCUCAGGACUGAAUAAAAUAUUAUCUUUACAAUUGUAACUACUUCUCACUGAGUAAUGUAGUGGACUCUAUAUGAAACCUCUGCCAUUAUCCAUCACUGCACAAAUUAUCCACAUUGCACACAGUCAGUUGAUUUUUGCGCAGGAAGUUUGCUGCUUCACCAACCACAGUCAGUUACUGUUUAUAAGAAACCAUUGCGAAAACACCCCUCGCAAUUUGAAAAGCCAUGAUUUCUGUUAUCUGAUUUUGAGUAACUGGAAUUGCACAUUUAUUUUGACCCUUUUCCAGUUGCUGUAAUUUCCAGGAUCACAUCUGUUUUCAGAAAGCAGUUGAAUAAAGUGUUCAGCUUCUG
rnacentral:lncRNA from 7 species